rnacentral:rRNA from 1 species
GAUGAACGCUGGCGGCGUGCCUAAUACAUGCAAGUCGAGCGAACGGACGAGAAGCUUGCUUCUCUGAUGUUAGCGGCGGACGGGUGAGUAACACGUGGAUAACCUACCUAUAAGACUGGGAUAACUUCGGGAAACCGGAGCUAAUACCGGAUAAUAUUUUGAACCGCAUGGUUCAAAAGUGAAAGACGGUCGUGCUGUCACUUAUAGAUGGAUCCGCGCUGCAUUAGCUAGUUGGUAAGGUAACGGCCUACCAAGGCAACGAUGCAUAGCCGACCUGAGAGACUGAUAGGCCACCUGGGAACUGAGACACGGUCCAGACUCCUACGAGAGGCAGCAGUAGCGAAUCUUCCGCAAUGGGCGAAAGCCUGACGGAGCAACGCCGCGUGAGUGAUGAAGGUCUUCGGAUCGUAAAACUCUGUUAUUAGGGAAGAACAUAUGUGUAAGUAACUGUGCACAUCUUGACGGUACCUAAUCAGAAAGCCCCGGCUAACUACGUG